rnacentral:rRNA from 1 species
CCUACGGGAGGCUGCAGUGGGGAAUAUUGCACAAUGGGCGCAAGCCUGAUGCAGCCAUGCCGCGUGUGUGAAGAAGGCCUUCGGGUUGUAAAGCACUUUCAGCGGGGAGGAAGGCGUUAAGGUUAAUAACCUUGUCGAUUGGCGUUACCCGCAGAAGAAGCACCGGCUAACUCCGUGCCAGCAGCCGCGGUAAUACGGAGGGUGCAAGCGUUAAUCGGAAUUACUGGGCGUAAAGCGCACGCAGGCGGUCUGUCAAGUCGGAUGUGAAAUCCCCGGGCUCAACCUGGGAACUGCAUUCGAAACUGGCAGGCUAGAGUCUUGUAGAGGGGGGUAGAAUUCCAGGUGUAGCGGUGAAAUGCGUAGAGAUCUGGAGGAAUACCGGUGGCGAAGGCGGCCCCCUGGACAAAGACUGACGCUCAGGUGCGAAAGCGUGGGGAGCAAACAGGAUUAGAUACCCUAGUAGUC